UACGUAGGCAGCGAGCGUUGUUCGGAGUUACUGGGCGUAAAGGGUGUGUAGGCGGUUGUUUAAGUUUGGUGUGAAAUCUCCCGGCUCAACUGGGAGGGUGCGCCGAAUACUGAAUGACUUGGAGUGCGGGAGAGGAAAGUGGAAUUCCUGGUGUAGCGGUGAAAUGCGUAGAUAUCAGGAGGAACACCGGUGGUGUAGACGGCUUUCUGGACCGCAACUGACGCUGAGACACGAAAGCGUGGGUAGCAAACAGG
rnacentral:rRNA from 1 species